AAUCAACGCUGGCGGCGUGCCUCAGACAUGCAAGUCGAACGAUUAAAGCUCUCUUCGGAGAGUGUAUAGAGUGGCGCACGGGUGGGUAACACGUAAGUAAUCUACCUUCGAGUGGGGAAUAACGUUCGGAAACGAACGCUAAUACCGCAUAAUGCAGCGGCAUCGCAAGAUGACAGUUGUUAAAGGAAUUUAUUUCGCUUGAAGAGGAGCUUGCGGCAGAUUAGCUAGUUGGUAAGGUAACGGCUUACCAAGGCUACGAUCUGUAUCCGGUCUAAGAGGACGGUCGGACACACUGACACUGAAUAACGGGUCAGACUCCUACGGGAGGCAGCAGUCGGGAAUUUUGGGCAAUGGGCGAAAGCCUGACCCAGCAACGCCGCGUGAAGGAUGAAGUAUUUCGGUAUGUAAACUUCGAAAGAAUGGGAAGAAUAAAUGACGGUACCAUUUAUAAGCUCCGGCUAACUACGUGCAGCAGCCGCCGUAAUAC
rnacentral:rRNA from 1 species